GGUUUGCGAAUUACUUACAGUGACCUAUCCAUACGAUUCCGUCCUUUGGUGGGCAGUGCCCUCCAGCAUUGGCCAAACCCCUCCAAUGGGACCCCAACGGGUGGGUUGGCGUCCGGGAAUCCUGGAACAAUUGGAAUCCCUGGCCCUGGCUGCCAUGAAGCCACUCCGUAAGGCUGGCCUCCCCUUUGGCAGCUUAAAACUUGAUGAACGCAAACCAAGCGCCCCCCGCAACCAUUUUUUUCCCAUAAACUUUUUCAAAUGCCCUGAAAGGGAAACAAAAAUUCUAGCCUUAUCGGUGGAUCACUCCGCUCCUAAGUCGAUGAAAAACGCCACCCGCUGCCAUAUCUAAUGGGAACUGCAGAACCUUUGAACACUAAACAUUCCAAUGGCCAUUGCGCCCUUGGAGUCCCUUCCUCUGGCACCCCCGGGUCAGGGUCGUUAACCCAAAACCCCAGAAAAAUGGCUACAUGGAUGCGUGAUGAUUAAUAUUUUCCUGCCAUGGAAAUUCAAAGUUUGCUAAUUUUGUACUUGGACAUGAAUUUCGUGAGAAUUUGCCGUGUGGCGAAUGAAAUUCACGUAUGUUCAUUGUGCAGAUUGGCAACUUUUCCAAAUCAUUCGACCUGAACUCAGACGUGAAUACCCGCUGAACUUAAGCAUAUCUAU
rnacentral:rRNA from 1 species